GCAAGUCGAGUGCUUUCCUUCGGGAAGGAGCGGCGGACGGGUUAGUAACGCGUGGGAACAUACCCUUCUCUAAGGAAUAGCCUCUGGAAACGGAGAGUAAUACCUUAUACGCCCUUUGGGGGAAAGAUUUAUCGGAGAAGGAUUAGCCCGCGUUAGAUUAGGUAGUUGGUGGGGUAAUGGCCUACCAAGCCUACGAUCUAUAGCUGGUUUGAGAGGAUGAUC
rnacentral:rRNA from 1 species